rnacentral:lncRNA from 1 species
UUACAGAUGGAUUGUUUAAUUUGUAUGUUUGAUGGUGGGAUUGUGUAAGUUGGUAUGCAAUUGUGUAGUGUACAUGACAUGGUGUACAUGAAUUUUUUUUUGCAAUAUGUUCAAUUAAUUUAUCUCAUAUUUUUCUUUCUUAAUUUAGUUGCUAUAGUUGAUAUGGUUAAGUGUUUGUAUUUUGUAGAUGGAGUAUUUGUAUUUUGUCGAAUUGAUCUAUAUAGUUCGUUUGGUGAAGUAGAUGGAUUACGUGUUUAAUGUUUAUUUGUGUAUUAAUUUACGGGCACUUGAUGUGUAGGUGAGAUGACGUCGUCCGGUUGUGAAUACAAGCAGCGUAGGUGGUAUGUGCGUUUCGUGGGUGAGUCCAAUGCUGGUGCUCCCGUACCUCCUGCCCUUCCGGUACCUCUUUGUAGAUGUAGCGUGCAAGCUGAGGUGAAACAAUC